rnacentral:misc_RNA from 1 species
AAAGUCGUAACAAGGUUUCCGUAGGUGAACCUGCGGAAGGAUCAUUAAUGAAUAGGUCUUUUAGACCCAAUUCUAUCCCACACCUUUGUGAACUGUAUUGGUUACUUUGGCGGGGUCGCUGUUUUAUGCGCCCACUUUAGGGAAUCCCCGCCAAGGUCUUUGCAAACUUUAGUUUAAAAUGUUAGAAAGUUAUUUAUUUAAUCUAUACAACUUUUAGCAACGGAUCUCUUGGCUCUC